CCUACGGGAGGCAGCAGUGGGGAAUAUUGCACAAUGGGCGCAAGCCUGAUGCAGCGACGCCGCGUGGGGGAUGAAGGCCUUCGGGUUGUAAACCCCUUUCAGCAGGGAAGAAGCGAGAGUGACGGUACCUGCAGAAGAAGCGCCGGCUAACUACGUGCCAGCAGCCGCGGUAAU
rnacentral:rRNA from 2 species